AUCCAGCUGACGAGUUCAAGGUAGAGCGGAACACGCGUCUUGGAU
rnacentral:hammerhead_ribozyme from 1 species